rnacentral:rRNA from 1 species
ACGAACGCUGGCGGCGUGCUUCAUACAUGCAAGUCGAGCGUGAACCCAGGGCUUGCCCUGGGGGGAAAGCGGCGAACGGGUGAGUAACACGUGGGCAACCAACCCCAGCCUCUGGGAUAACCUCGGGAAAACCGGGGCUAAUACCGGAUACUCUCGAAGGGUCGCAUGGCCCAACGAGGAAAGCUCCGGCGGGACUGGGGACGGGCCCGCGGCCUAUCAGCUUGUUGGCGGGGUAAUGGCCCACCAAGGCGACGACGGGUAGCUGGCGUGAGAGCGUGACCAGCCACACUGGGACUGAGACACGGCCCAGACUCCUACGGGAGGCAGCAGUGGGGGAAUCUUGCGCAAUGGGCGAAAGCCUGACGCAGCGACGCCGCGUGGGGGAUGAAGGCUCUUGGGUCGUAAACCCCUUUCGGCAGGGAAGAAGCGAAAGUGACGGUACCUGCAGAAGAAGCCCCGGCCAACUACGUGCCAGCAGCCGCGGUAAACACGUAGGGGGCGAGGCGUUGUCCGGAUUUCAUUGGGCGUAAAGCGGCGCGCAGGCGGCUUGGAAAGUCGGGUUGUGAAAACUCGGGGCUCAACCCCGGGCGUGCAUCCGAUACUGCCAGGCUUGAGGCAGGUAGGGGAGAUCGGAAUUCCUGGUGUCGCGGUGAAAUGCGCAGAUAUCAGGAGGAACAACCGGUGGCGAAGGCGGAUCUCUGGGGCCUGUCCUGACGCUGAGGCGCGAAAGCUAGGGGAGCGAACAGGAUUAGAUAACCCUGGUAGUUCCUAGCCGUAAACGAUGGGGUGCUAGGUGUGGGGGCGGCGAUUGACUCGCCCUGUUGCCGGAGCUAAACGCAUUAAGCACCCCGCCUGGGGAGUACGGCCGCAAGGCUAAAACUCAAAGGAAUUGACGGGGGCCCGCCACAAAGCGGCGGAGCAUGUGGCUUAAUUCGAUGCAACGCGAAGAAACCUUACCUGGGCCUUGACAUGCGGGGCGAAGCCUAUGAAAGUAGGCGCUCCUCCGGGAGCCCGCACAGGUGCUGCAUGGCUGUCGUCAGCUCGUGCCGUGAGGUGUUGCCUUAAGUGGCGCAACGAGCGCAACCCCUGUCCCAUGUUGCCAGCGGAUCAUGCCGGGGACUCAUGGGAGACUGCCGGUGCCAAACAGGAGGAAGGUGGGGAUGAGGUCAAGUCAUCAUGGCCCUUAUGCCCAGGGCUGCAUACAUGCUACAAUGCGCGGUACAAAAGGGCUGCUAUCCCGCAAGGGUGAGCGAAUCCCAAAAAAGCCGCGCCUCAGUUUCGGAUCGAGGUCUGCAAACCCGACCUCGUGAAGCCGGAGUCGCUAGUAAUCGCAGAUCAGCAAUGCUGCGGUGAAUACGUUUCCCGGGCCUUGUACACACCCGCCCGUCACACCACGAAAGUCGGUAACAACCCGAAGCCGGUGGCCCAACCCAUUGUGGAGGGAGCCGUCGAAGGUGGGAUUGGCGAUUGGGGUG